GAACCAAGUCCUAUAAUAGGAACUAGGAACUCAUUGUGAUCAUUGAUUGCUCUCAAUCCGAUGGACUGUGUUUCACCCGCCUUUUUCAAUUUCAUUAAAGGCAUUUUUUAAUUUUUCCAGUUGAAUGACCUUUCUCAUGUUCUUUUCAAAGUUCUUUUGUUUCUCUCUCCUCUCUUGAUCUUUCUCUCUCUACUCUCAAAUCUCACUGUAUUUUCGUUUCUCUUGUAUAGAAAUCGGGAUUUCGUUCUUCGCUGAUCAAUUUUUUUGCUUUGGUUCUUUGAUUUUCGUCAUUGUUUGAGGUUAUGGCUUAGCAAGGUACUUAUCUAGCUAGCUAUUUUAAUCUUAUAGAAGAAAGUGAAACACAGGUUGUUUUGUGACUUCAUCACACAGGUUGUUGCUCAGCAAGGCCCUAUUAAAAUCAGAUGAGAAGGUCAACAUUGGUUCAAAUAUUUCAGUUAUGAAAUUCCUACCCAGAGCUUACACUAUUGUCAUGUCACAACGGAUUGCACUUGUUUGAUAUGUGGGGCUUCAAGUGAAUCUUUCAUUCAUGCCUUGUUCCAAUGUCGGGGUGCAAAAUUGAUUUGGGACAUGGGAGCAUAGUAAUUAUGUGGAGCCGUUGAAUGAUGCGCCUACAAGAUCCUUUGCUGAGCGUCUAUUGUGGCUUGCACAUAAGGUGGAGAAAAAAGAACUAAGUUUGAUAUGUGUUCUGACUUGGGUUGCUUGGUUUUGCAGGGAUGCGAGUAUUUACCAGGACCUUGUGACUAGUCAUGUAAGUCUAGCAUUUAAUUAUACCAAGCUACUACAUGAUUAUAGAGAGUACUCUAUUUAAGUAUUCAAGCCUGCUGUGACAAAUAAGGCUGCCCUGAAUGCAAGUUGGUGUGCACCAGCAGCCGGGGGUUGUGAAAGUUAACACUGAUGCGCACCUCUCUGUUGCUAAUCAGGUUGGAAUUGGUGUGCACCAGCAAGGCUUGGCAUCAUGUGCUGUAUAAAUUUUUAAAUUUACUUUUAAAAGAUUUUUAUGUACUUUUGAAUUAUUUUGUUUACUUUGAAUGUUUAAUGUAUAUACUAGCCUACAAGCUCAACAGGUAGAGCAUUGUGCACAUGCACAAAAGAUGUGGAUUCGAAUCCCACGUAGGUUUAUUUAUUGAUAACCUGGAAUAUUUGGAAUGGUAGUUGCUCACUUUGACUGAAAUUUGAGCAUAUACUCUAUAUAUUUUUGUUGUUUAUUACUUUUGAUGUACUUCGCUUUACUUUUGAAUAAUAUUUAUUUACUUUUAAUUAA